rnacentral:rRNA from 1 species
UGAAUACGUUCCCGGGCCUUGUACACACCGCCCGUCACACCACGAGAGUUGGCAACACCCGAAGUCGGUGGGGUAACACAAUACGUGAGCCAGCCGCCGAAGGUGGGGCCAAUGAUUGGGGUGAAGUCGUAACAAGGUAGCCGUAUCGGAAGGUGCGGCUGGAUCACCUCCUUU